ACAGAGAAAAGUACUGUCAGCAAACCUGAGGUGAAGAGUCACGUCAGCAAAAGCAGUUCAAUGCGCAGUGUUCCCAAGCAAACAACUUCCACCCAUACUGAGAAAAAAAGCAAAACAUCAUCACAUCUUGUGAAGAAGGAAUCAUCUCAGAAAAAAGCAGGUGAG